rnacentral:rRNA from 1 species
GAUGAACGCUGGCGGCGUGCCUAACACAUGCAAGUCGAGCGAAAGGACGAGAAGCUUUCUUCCUUGAUGUUAGCGGCGGACGGGUGAGUAACACGUGGAUAACAUACCUAUAAGACUGGGAUAACUUCGUGAAACCGGUGCUGAUACCGGAUAAUAUUUUCAACGGCUGGAUGCAAAAGAGAAUGGCGUCUUGCGCGCUUGUAUGAGCCGAUGUCGGAUUAGCUAGUUGGUUGGGUAAGGGCCCACCAAGGCGACGAUCCGUAGCUGGGCUGAGAGGAUGAUCAGCCACACUGGAACUGAGACACGGUCCAGACUCCUACGGGAGGCAGCAGUGGGGAAUCUUGCGCAAUGGGCGAAAGCCUGACGCAGCAAUGCCGCGUGAGUGAAGAAGGCCUUCGGGUCGUAAAGCUCUUUUAUUAGGGAAGAACAGAUGUGUGUUAAUCUGUGCACAUCUUGACGGUACCUAAAGAGAAAGCCCCGGCUAACUACGUG